CCUCCUGCAGCUGCUGCUGGAAUAGUGAAAGUGUUGGUUUGAACCUCAGAAGGAAACAGACUCAUAAGCUACCCAUAUAAAUGUAAUCUAUAAAACAAUGGUUUUCACCCAUGAUCCUUUAAAAUAUAUAUUUUUAAGCUCUAACUCUUGAGAUUCUGAUUCUCCAGGCAGGGCCCCACUUUGUAGAUUUUUAGCACACUCUGGAGGAUUCUAUGGUGGGACCAGAACAAGGACCCCAAUUUUCUAGCUCUUGACUGGAGCCUCCCCAUACCCUGCAUGAUCCCUAGACCAUGGUCCCGGCCGGAUGGGGAUCCCACAACCCCCGGGGCUGCAACCGCUUGCCUGUGGCAGCAGGGGCUUGGCCCUCUCCACCUUUCUUUCUAGCUCCUUUAUGUUGAGCUGGAUCUCAGACUUUUGAGUCUCUUGAAGUCGAACUUUUUCUUCUAAUUUGAUAUUUUUCUCCUUCAGCUCCUCAUCGAUUAUGCUAUGGCCAGAGACAGUAGAGAAAGGAAUGAACGAAGAACAGAAAGGAACGCUUUGGUGACCAACCCUCUGCUUUCACCCCACAACCACAGAACCGUGGCAUUGGAUGGGACCCCAGGAAUUAAAAGUCCCAGGUGGCAGGCCAGAGAGAAGAUAUGAGUUGCCUGAGGCUACCCCUGACAGCAGAGAGGGCCCGCUCUAAUUCUCCGGCAAACUUCCAUGAUUCAUGGAGGCGGCACACCAGAUCCCUGGUCUCUCCUGGAAUGAGAGACAUUCAGAUGCGGCCCAAAGGACUCCCCCUAAAGGCUUGUCAAAGUGCCAGGUUUUAAGAUGACAGGGUGCCGGAUGCCCACCUUGCAGCUGCUGGACAGCAUGCUGGCUGUCAUACAGUGCCGCCUGAAGCUCCGUUUGCUGAAAUAAAGAGGAAGACAGAGCUCUUACCAGGGGGAGGCAGAGAUGGCACAGCAAGGGACAUGCCCCCAGAAUGGCACCACUGCCCCAGGACAGGCCCACCCAUGGGACCAGCAGAUGGAGAGGAUUCAAACCCAGAAUUCUUAACCAGUGCCUGGGAGAUCUUCCACAAUCUUAACAAUUACCCUCCACCACCCCUUGGGCCCUCUGUCCCCAGGAGCCUGGCCAGCCAAGACUCACAUCCUCAGACUCAAAGGAAACUGAUGUUUCAGAAAGAUACCCUGUAUUUAUCCUGUGGCACUCAAAGUACCCCAGGUGGAGAUGAGAUGAGGAAUAUUCAAGCUGUCAAGUUCAGUUUCCCAAGAUCUGUUCCACAGAAGAUAAGCAGAUCUCACUCCAGAAACCACUGACUGAGGGGCACUCUGGUCCCAGAACAAUGCAGAAUUCAAAUCUGAGGUGGGGAACUCAGAAACAAUGUUCGAGUCUCUCUGGAGAGUAGAAGCCUGGGAGAAAACCAAACCCAACCCGUUCUCCCAUUGCCACCCAGGGACACUGUCAAUGUGUUGAGCUCAUGGGGGAGGUGUCGGCUUUUCACACUGUCAGUGUCUGUGUUAAGGAAGUAAGGCAGCCUGAAACCUGUCUCUCCUAGGUCCCACAGUCCCCAAUCCCCUUCCAGCUGGAAACCUGUGCUAUAACCAGAGGAACCAGAAAUGGGCAAGAACACUCAGGGGACUGGGUCCUAAGACCAAAGACCAGUCUCGUGGCAGUAAUGACAGUUCCUAGAGGGACUGUGACAUCACUACAUUCCACUCCUCAGUGGAGUGGUGGGGAGGACACGUGAGUGCAAUGUCCAAGUUGCCGCUUUGAGAUUGGGGAGGGGGAGUCACAGGAUUGGGACCCAGGUCCUUGGAGAUGCAAGCCCAAAGAGCCCAGGGAGGUCAGGCUUUGGGUGGCGAGAGGUGAGGGCCGAGUAUGGAGCAGGAAGCCCCAGGAGUCACCUGUCCAAAGUGACCAUGGGGCAACUGGUGGGGGCAGGUUCUGGGGCACCCAGGUCCUUGGAGACGUGAGCCCAAAGAGCCCAAGGAGGUCGGGUUUGGGGUAGCAGGAGGUAAGGGCAGAGUAUGGAGUGGGAAGCCCUGGGAGUCACCAGCUCAAAGUCACCCUGGGGUGACUGGUGAGGGCAGGGGCAGGACUCACAAGGGGGUUGGGCUGGCUCACAAGAUUUGGGUGUGGGGAGCCCAGAGGCACUGGGUGGGGGUGGUCCCAGCCUGAUGUGCCUCAGCAGUGGCACAGACUCUGGCAGCAGCUUGACUGUCAGAGGGCACCUGGGGCUGGGUUGGGGUGCCGCAACCUGGUGCAUUUUACCUUUUCCUUGGCCUUGGCCAAUUUGAUCAGUGGGGUUUCUUCGGA
ensembl:lncRNA